CGUGUCUUCACGCUGCCUGAAUCCCUUGGUGACAUCCAAAGGUGUCACUAAAGAUGUCACUAAAGACCUGAAGAGCGGGAGCCCAGAGGACCAGCUCCAGCCUCACUGGACAGCAGGAAGUAACGGCCGCGGCCGGGUCGUGGUCCCAAUACCCACAAGAAUGAGGACGGAUCAAAAGACCCUGGGGACUGAAAAGGGUAACCAAAGGGUUAGCAGCCGCAACUUUGUACCCUGACCUUUUUCCUUCGCCACUGAGUACCCCUGACUCUCCUCCUGUAGGGAGGUGGAUGUGAGGCUCGCCCUCCUGCCUCUGGAAUAAACUCUUGCUUUGCUUUAUA